AUUGAACGCUGGCGGCAUGCCUUACACAUGCAAGUCGAACGGUAACAGGUCUUCGGAUGCUAACGAGUGGCGAACGGGUGAGUAAUACAUCGGAACGUGCCCGAGAGUGGGGGAUAACGAAGCGAAAGCUUUGCUAAUACCGCAUACGAUCUCAGGAUGAAAGCAGGGGACCGCAAGGCCUUGCGCUCACGGAGCGGCCGAUGGCAGAUUAGGUAGGUGGUGGGAUAAAAGCUUACCAAGCCGACGAUCUGUAGCUGGUCUGAGAGGACGACCAGCCACACUGGGACUGAGACACGGCCCAGACUCCUACGGGAGGCAGCAGUGGGGAAUUUUGGACAAUGGGCGCAAGCCUGAUCCAGCCAUGCCGCGUGCAGGAUGAAGGCCUUCGGGUUGUAAACUGCUUUUGUACGGAACGAAAAGACUCCUUCUAAUAAAGGGGGUCCAUGACGGUACCGUAAGAAUAAGCACCGGCUAACUACGUGCCAGCCGCCGCCGUAAGAC
rnacentral:rRNA from 1 species